rnacentral:rRNA from 1 species
UACGUAGGUGGCGAGCGUUAUCCGGAAUUACUGGGUGUAAAGGGAGCGCAGGCGGGAUAGCAAGUCAGCGGUGAAAAUUAUGGGCUUAACUCAUAAACUGCCGUUGAAACUGUUAUUCUUGAGUGGAGUAGAGGCAGGCGGAAUUCCGAGUGUAGCGGUGAAAUGCGUAGAUAUUCGGAGGAACACCAGUGGCGAAGGCGGCCUGCUGGGCUCUAACUGACGCUGAGGCUCGAAAGUGUGGGGAGCAAAC